rnacentral:rRNA from 1 species
AUGAGAGCAACAAGGAGCCAGCCAUGUCUCCAAACACAACACUCCCAACAGAGGAGCGACGUCGAGGACGCCGCCAUCAUGCCGAUCCAACGCCGAAUCGAGGCUUUUGCCCGGAGACAUCCACCAACUCCAAGAGAGCAAGGAGAAUGGCGAACACGCUCGGUGAUGCCUCCAAGAAGGGGAAUGACAUCCACGGAUGCCAUGACCGCCGGCCCGACAGAAGCCGUGCAAGAUUUUCAUCCGCGCGUUGUUCAUCUCCACGCCUCCAUGGAAUUGGCAACACUGUCCAAGAAGCCUCACACCGCCGCCACCGCAACUCUUGCUGACAUAGCUACAAAGCGGAGGACCGAUGACCAACCGCCCGACAGGGUAACUGCAGCCACACCACCGUCUCCCGACCUGUACAAGGAUUCACAACCAACCAACACCUUCGGCCAGGUCCAAGACCGCCUGUGA